rnacentral:misc_RNA from 1 species
GUACCUUCAAGCUCUGCUUGGUGUUGGGUGUUUGUCCUUGCCUUUGGUUGGACUCGCCUUAAAGUAAUUGGCAGCCAGUAUUUUGGUUUGAAGCGCAGCACAAGUCGCAAUUCAAGCCUGAAUUAUGGCGUCCAUGAAGAUUUAUAUCAC